rnacentral:rRNA from 1 species
GACGAACGCUGGCGGCGUGCUUAACACAUGCGAGUCGAACGAUGAAGCGGGUGCUUGCACUCGUGGAUUAGUGGCGAACGGGCGAGUAACACGUGAGUAACCUGUCCUUUUCUUUGGGAUAACGGCUGGAAACGGCUGCUAAUACUGGAUAUUCAGGCUGCAUCGCAUGGUGUGGUUUGGAAAGGUUUUUUCUGGGAUUGGGUGGGCUCGCGGCCUAUCAGCUUGUUGGUGGGGUGAUGGCUUACCAAGGCUUUGACGGGUAGCCGGCCUGAGAGGGUGGUCGGUCGCACUGGGACUGAGAUACGGCCCAGACUCCUACGGGAGGCAGCAGUGGGGAAUAUUGCACAAUGGACGAAAGUUUGAUGCAGCGACGCCGCGUGGAGGGUGUAGGCCUUCGGGUUGUGAACUCCUUUGUCUCGCGAAAAAGGCACAGUUUUGGCUGUGUUGAUGGUAGUGGGGGAAGAAGCGCCGGCUAACUACGUG